GAAUUGGCAACAAGCUCAUUUCACUGGUGGGUUUGCUGAAGCAUUAUCACAAGACAGUCAGAAUGACUGAUGAGUGCUCUUCAGGUGUGAAUCAUGGCAAUACAGUGAAAGACAGUGAUUUACUGCUUUUGAGGGCGUGCAUGUAUAUGAUUAACGGAUGGAAGUGCAGGACUCCAAGAUUUACUUCCUUCCCUUUCCAGCAGAAUUACCUGAGACGAGUAAAAUCUACUGGUGGAGUCACUCCAUUAUUCUUAUCUGUGGAGAUCUAGAUCUUGAUUUGAAAGUUUCUGAGAAAAUCUUCAGCUCAGACUUGAGGGUCAACUUUACCAGCUGAAGGAUCUGCAUUUACUGCUCAACCACAUCUAAUUUGAUGUCCUCUGCAGAUUUAAAAUGUGUGCCUUCUUUUCCGUCACCAAGUCAUCCCUGGGUUACUACUGAACAUCCUUCUCAAUUCCCCCCGACCCAUGGAUGGCUGUUCUCCAUUGUCUGUUUCACCAGAUGUCCUCAAAACAAACAGACAGAAGAAGGAAGUGGCUAAUGGUCACUUAAUACUCAAAGACUGCAAAUUCCUUUCCUACUGCUGAUGUGGAAGAAGCUUGGAAACAUGUUCCUUUCCAGGAGAUAAGUGAUACGGCAGAAAGACGGGUCAGAUGAGGCCAAGGGAUUGGAGCCAGAGUCUUACCAAACUCGCAGGCAGCUUGUGACUGCGGGCAUGCUGUGCUGAUGGAGGAGGGGAGGCCUGGGGGCUCCAUGCUGUCGGGAUUCCUCCCUUGAUAAACAGAGUCAAGGAGCUGUGGAGUCCAAGUGUGACUGCCAAGAGGAAUCCAGCAAAGCCAAAAAGCCCAAGCAUGUAGCCCUGCCCGAAGCACGCCACACGCAUGGAAAACCCAGAGGAAAUGAGUGAGGAUCAAUGGGAAGAAGAGAGCCAGCCAGGAAGUUGAAGAUUUGUCCAGGAGCAGAUAGCUGAAGAGAGAGAGAGAGAAGAGAGAACGGCUUACAGCUCAGGUCCUCUCUCCAUGCUUAGGAACCACUACAAAUGCUACUGCCUUGAGUCUCAUUUUGUUUCCCUCUGGAAACCACAUGUGUACCUUGUUUGCAACAGUAUGGUUCUGGAGACCAGAAGGCCAAAAUCAAAAGUAUGGGCAGGCUUGAUUUCUUUAGAAGACUCCAGCGGAGAACUGUGUCUCCUUGCUUCUGAUUCUACAUCUCCAUCCAUGGGCCACUGUUUCAGCAACCUCAGCCAGUGCAACACAACCUCAGCCAAGAAGAGUAUGCAGAGAAAGGAGUCCCCUACCUGCCACAAAACUGUUGUCUGAAAACUGUCUCAUAUUGUCUCAAGUUGUCAUUCAUUGUGAAUUAGACCUGUUUAACAUGUAAUCUGCAACAUGCUUCACUGUCUAAUUUUCCAGAGCCCCUCAUAUAAGGAACUGUAUUAUUGGUAUAAUCAUCAUGGUGAAGAAGUUGGUAUGUGGGGGAGAGAUGACAGAAACAGAGAGUAAGUCAGAGCUGGCUGCCUGACAGAUAAAAAGGAAAUGACCAAAAAAAAAAAAAAAGACACAGAAGAAUACUUUGUUGUCCACACAGAAAAGGGAAGUGUAGGUAAGACAGCAGUAGACUAAGAUUCUUAAGACUCAAGUUCUAGUCUUAUUUAUUAGCUAUGGGAGGCCUUGAGGGAGUUCUAGAAUUAAGUGAUCUCUCUUUAUAAAAUAGGAACAGUAAUAACUUCCUGGCUAACUCCCUGGCUGUCUCACAAUGCUGUAGUAGUAAGAAAUAAUUUUAUAAUUAAAGACUAUUUUAGGGCUGAUUACAUUUUUGGGCAGUGGCUCAUACAUGUAAUUUCAACAUUUUGGGAGGCCAAGGUGGGCGGAUUGCUUGAGCCCAGGAAUUCAAGACCAGGCUGGGCAACACAGACCUUGUCACUACAAAAGAAAAAAACAUUAGCUAGGCGUGGUGAUGUAUGCCUGUGGUCCCAGCUACUCAGGAAGCUGAGACAGGAGGAUCACCUGAGCCUGGGAGGUCGAGGCUACAGUGAGCCAUGAUCACACUACUGCACUCCAGCCUGGGAAACAGAGUGAGACUCUGUCUCAAAAAAAAAAAAAAAGGAAUAUUUUACACUUCAAGGUUCUAUACAAAUGUAAAAUAUCAUUCUAUUACUUAUUUAUAAUGCUGAUUAUUCUUUAAAUGACUUUAAAAUGUUAAUCUCUGCUUGAGCCUACGGAGAAGUAUGUAACAAAUUUGUGAAGGAUUGGCAUUAAACAUAGUCAAAAUAAAACAUAGAAAUUAUGGUAAAUAAUUUAACUGGUAAAAUAAUCUAAGUGGUAGUUCUCAGGUAAGUGGAAAUUCGAUUAGCUGAUUGUUUAGGAUUCUUGGUUAUAAGUGACAGAGACCUGACUAAAAGUACAUGAAGCACAUAACUGAGAAGGUUGUGGUAUGGCUCAGCAGAAAUGGGAAAAUCUUGGGACUGGUUCGUGUUUUAUUUACAUUAUCUUUGUUCCCAGGCAGUCUCUGCAUGUAAGUGGCAAAGAUGACUGUCUGAAAAUAUAUACCUACUUUUUUAAAGGGCUAUCUCAAGCCAUUCUGGAGAAGCACCAAAAGCCACUUUGCUUAUACUGGGAGAAUAGUUUGCUUUCCCUAAUUUGUGAUGAGUGAAACACUGAACAGAGACAUAGAAUAAUAUUCUGUAGUUCAGGGUUGGUGUAAUAUGGCCAGUGGGCGGAAUCUGGUCCUCAGACUGAUUUUGCAAAUAAUCUUAUAGAAACACAGCAACACCCAUUCAUUACAUGUUGUUUAUGGUUGCUUUGGGGUUACAAUGGCAGAGUUGAGUAGUUGUGACAGAGAUCACUAGGCUCACCACAUCUGAGAUAUGUACUGACUGACCCUGUACAGAAAGUUUGCUGCUCUUAGAGGAAUGUGUGUUUCUAGUGUCAGCAAUAAACUUCUUGGAUUUGUUUUGUUUUCUCAUCUUUACAUGAUAGUUGCAGACUAGUUGAUCCUUGUGACCUGUUUUUGAAUGCCACUGUGUAUUCUGUCAGGGCCCUCUGAUUCUGUUUCUUAUGGUGCUGAAUGCACAAUUUAAUGCCCUGGAAUUUCCUUCUGUCUUCUGCUAAACUCAUGCCUCUUCAGAUAGUUAAAAUCCUGUUCUACCUUAGAAGUCUCCAGAGUUAUUUUCCUAAAUUAAGAAGAACUGGCUUUGAAGUUACUCAUUAUGCCACACACAAUGGUUGAAAAGAGCAUCUCUUAUGUACUGUGUAUAUUUCAGCAUCCACUCAGCUUCUUAGGUAGAAAAGGAAGAGUCUUCCACAGUGUAUUUUAUCCAUAUUUGGGUCAGAAACUCUUCUUUACCACGGAGCGUGAUGGAAGAAAGAUAUGGGAUGGUAACAGUAGGCCAGGGAUGUAAUAAUCACAAAAUUUGAGAUAUUUUGUGACUGGUGACUCACGCCUGUGAUCCCAGCAUUUUGGGAGGCCAAAGCGGGCGGAUCACCUGAGGUCAGGAGUUCAAGACCAGCUUGGCCAAUGUAGUGAAACCUCAUCUCUACUAAAAAAAUAUAAAAAUUAGCUGGGUGUGGUGGUGCACACCUGUAAUCCUAGCUACUCAGGAGGCUGAGGCAGGAGAAUAGCUUGAACCAAGGAGGUGGAGGUUGCAGUGAGCUGAGAUUGUGCCACCACUGCAUUCCAGUCUGGGUGACAGAGCGAGACUCUGUCUCAAAAAAAAAAAAAAAAAAAAUCUAGAAAAAGAUCUCCAAGAUUCAAUCAUCUAAUUAUUUCUUUUAAAAAUGAGAAAAAUGACUCCUGGUCAGCUUUUACCUUCUUUUUCCAACUGUCUUGACAAUACUUUCAUAUUGGGCUUUUAAAGUCUCAAGUAAUAGGUUUUUAAAACCUCAGCUGAUAAAAGUAUAAAAAUAAAGUUAAAACAUAUUAAAGACAAAACCCAAGAAUCAGCUUCCUCUUCCUUCAUUACUCUUGCAUGGGUGUUGGCUCUAAUUUCUCCAUCUAGUUAGGCAGUCCUUUGCUUUUUAUUGCUUGUUUAUUGAUGACAUUUGCCAUUUGUAGCAAUAGUAAUAGAAUCAUCUAUAUAUUUGUGGCCUUGUUGAAUGUAGAAAAAGGAUAGUGGCAUUUUCUAAUUGUGUAACCCUAUAACACCUUGACGGGGGACUACAGUUCAUAUGCUGGACCUUUUGUGUUUGUUCAUGGCGGGUGGGUUGCUUUAAUAUACUUAGCACAUUGUCCUAAUUGCCAUCCUUUUGGGGAGGGCUAUAUAUCCAAGCUAAUAUGGUAGCAUUUUUGUUUUAACAUAGAGCUGACCCAAGGUAGACGUAAGUGUUGUUCAUUUUUGCCUAAUACUAAUAAAAUUACCUAAUUGUUGAAGCUUGGAGCUUGAAUCUAGGCAUUUUAUUUCAUUUCAAGUACACCCUAGUAUUUUAAAGCAUAAAUAUCCUACUAUCCUCAACAACUUUAGAACAAAAAUAAAUAUUUUAACAAGAAAAAAGCAUGCCAUGACAAGCUGUAACUUAGUAAAGAAAGACAAGGAAUGGUCUCUAUAGACCGAGAAAAAAUAGGUCCUCAGAUAUAUUUAUACCAAAGGAAUGUUAUGAAUGUAAAAAACAGUUUGACUCCCCCCCCCCCGCCAAAAAAAAACUCCACAACCCUAUAUUUUGUUAUCACAAGACUGUUUUAGUGAAUAAAACAGUAUGAAUUGGUUUUACCUGUUUCCAUUUAAUACUUAUUAACUUUAUAAUCGUAUAGCCUGAGGGUUUUAACUUCAAGUACAGCAUGAUGACUAUAAUAGUUUUACACAAGGCAAAUGUGAAAAACAGAAGUAAUUUCUUUUAAAAAGUGUGAAAUAUCUAAAAGGUAUGACUUCAAUACAUCAACUCAGGUGAGACAGACAUGUAACUUCUUUUUCCAUGUUUAAACCUAAUAUUGCUUUUGUGCCUCUGAAGGCUCGGAGUUUCCAUGCCUUCUUAGGACAUGCCACCCUCUCCACACCUGGAUGUGUUCACCAACCCAGAAGCUCUUGGAACCCCAUCAUUUGGGGUUUUUAUGGAGUCCCCAUUAAGUAGGUAUGACUGAUUAAAUCACUGGCCAUUGGUGGUUGACUCAAUCUCCAGCCUCUCUUCCCUCUCUGAAGGUGAAGGGGUGGGAAGGUGAGGCUAAGUUCCAACCCUCGGAUCACAGGGUUGGUUCCUCUGCAACCAGGCUUCAUCGUGAAACAAUACAGGGCCCACCGAGAGUCACCCCAUUAGCAAACUCAGAUGUGAUUGAAAGGGGCUUAUUAUGAAUAUCAAAAGACAUUUCUCUUUCUCCUAUUACUCAGACAGUUACAAGGGUUUCAGAAGCUCUUGCACCAGGAACUGGGAACAAAGACCAAAUAUAUAUGUCUUCUUCUAUUACAAUGUCACAGGUGUGACAGAGUAGGUAAAUGGAGUCUCAGAGAGUCCCCAGAGUAUUCCAUGGAGCCACAAAAUGAAGAAUAAAUGGAUGGUUCUCCCCAUGAUCAAAAGUGGCCUGAAAAUACUUGAGAAUGAGUCAUAACUUAAAAGGCUGUAUAGUAGAAAAGAAUGCACAGAGGACCGAAUGUAAAAGAAGGCACCCCAGUCUCAGCUAGUGUGGAUGCAUGCCAGUGUAGAAAGAUGCUAGUGUGGCUACAUUGGUGCACUGAAGACCAAACUCCUGCAUGGCCCCACAUCCUUGAUACCUUAGAUCUAUAUCAUCCCCUAAAACUUAGGUGUUAUGACAUUCAGGAUAUGCUACCCCAUCAUUUUUUAGGCUGAAGGAAUUUGAGAAAACAGAAGCAGGAAUGUAAUUGCCCAGUGGGUUCUUCCUGCCCUGUGCACAGACAAAACCAGUUCACUGAGACCAUGGUAUUGCAGUUAAGAAAGAGUUUAACAGGAGGCUGGCCACAUGGAAGAAUUACAGUUAUUACAAAUUAGUCUCCCUGAAGGCUCAGAGGUCAGGGUUUUUCAUGGAUAGUUCGGUGAGCAGUGGAUUAGGGGUAAGUGCUGCUGAUUGGUUGGGGAUACAAUCAUAGGGGUGUGGAAAAUGGUCCUUGUGUGCUGAGUCACCUCUGGGUGGGAGGCCAUGGGACCCAUUGAGUCAUGAGUCACGAGGCUGGGUUGGGUCAGUGUGAAAAACAUCUCAAAAGACCAAUCUUAGGUUCAAAAUAGGUGAUAUUACCUGUAGGAGCAAUUGGGAAAGUUAUAAAUUAUAUGACCUCUUGGCCCCAUGACUUCUGAGCAGUAAGAGAUGAUAGAAACUAAACCUACAUUUUAUCAGCACUCAGGCCUCUUCCAUAAUCCUAAUCUUGUGGCCUUUCGUUAGUCUUAUAAAGGUGGUUUGGUAACUGCCCUCAAGCAAGGAGGGGAUCAGUUUUAGGGAGGUGCUAUUAUCAUCCUUGCUUCAAAGUUAAGCUGUAAACUAAAUUCCUCCCAUAAUUAGCUUGGCCUACACCCAGAAAUGAGCAAAGACAGCCAGCCUGUGAUGUUAGAAGCAAGAUGGAGUUAGUCAUGUUAGAUUUCUCUCACUGUCAUAAUCUUUGCAAGGGAGGUUCCAGGAAGGUCAUCCUACCUUUCCCCUCACCCUUCUCAUGUGACACAGGUCAUAAAGCCUAGGAAGGAUUUUCCGACCUUUCCCUGAAGCAGGUCGUAAGACCCUCAUUGGGGAGGUGCCAUUUCUAGACCAAGAGAAAAGGCACAUCCUUAUGUCUGAAGACACAGGGACACAGAGAAGAAUCUGAACAAACAGGUCUUGCUAAGUUCCCCCCAGUUUGUUUUCAUUAGAUCAUGCCCCUUUAUUCAAUGCUGUUUCUCCACAACUAUCCAUUUCUUCAUCAAGCCUAGCAUAAAAAAUACAGGUUUCACGGUUUCUUUGGGUCUUCAUUUCCUUAUAAAGUCUCCUGUACCAUGUAAAACUUAAAUAAGUUUCUCUGCUUUUCUCUUGUUGAUUCUGUCCUUUGUUUUAUAACCCUCAGACAUGAACCUAGUGAUGAGUGAGGGGAAGAUAAUUUAUUUUCCUCUACAGAUGCAAAAGGGAAAAGGGAACAAUCCCUAAACGGAAGUUAUGAUCCAGGGAUCAGAGGCUCAAAAGCAAGAUUAGGUUUAAAUGUAGAAAAAUACAUUCCUCUUUCAUUUUAGAUAUCCCAAAUGCCCAAAUCAACCCAGCUAUUUCUCAGAAGUCUGUUUCCCCUCCACCCUCUGCUCCUCUGUGUAGUGAAACUGUCUCGUUUGGGAGUAAAAUGGCCUGGCUUUCCUUACUGAGUAUACUCUCAAGACUAUUGCCUAUUACUUUUUUCCAUUCCUUCUUGAGAACUACGCUUUUUAAAACAAGAAUUGACUCCAUUUAUCUUUUUCUUUUAGCCUUCUGCUGGGGUAUGCCUUCUCUAAAGCAAUGAAUAAAAAAUGCUUUAGCUGAAUAAAUGGGGCAAGGAUCAAGGAGUACAAGCUAAUAUUUCACAAUAUUAUCCUGCCAUAAAUAAAAGUAUGGUUUAAAUGACAAUGGUGGGGUUAGGAGUUACAGGUCACUGAAACACCACCUUAUUCAUGCUACCAGCCCCUUGGCUUUCCUGAUGGCAGCAGGGAAGCAACACAUAGGUAGAAUUAUGAGCCAACAUCGUGACUGGAGAGGGAUUGAAAAUCUUAUUUGUUGUCUUCCUAGACUAUUACAGUUAUCUGUUGAAAUUAGACUCAAUUCUUUGGCGAAAGUACUCAUUUUUAAGGUCCAUAAUAAAUUGUAACUAUGUAGCCUUUGUUGCAUGAGUUUAGUAUGAGCUGAUUGGUGGGCCACAGUGAAAGGCAGAGGGAAAUGGAUGUUAACUAAGAGGUAGAAGUCCCCUUGAAGUUCUGACCCUGUCACUAAUGAAGUCUUUAUUUCCGUAUUUAGUAAUUGCCUUUUUUUUUUUUUUUUGAGACAGAGUCUUGCUCUGUCGCCAGGAUGGGGUACAGUGGCACAGUAUCUGCUCACUGCAACCUCCGCCUCCCAGGUUCAAGCAGUUCCCCUGCCUCAGCUUCCUGAAUAGCUGGGACUACAGGUGUCUGCCGCCAUGCCUGGCUAAUUUUUGUAUUUUUAGUAGAGACGGGGUUUCACUAUGUUGGCCAGGAUGGUCUCGAUCUCCUGACCUCGUGAUCUGCCCACCUCAGCCUCCCAAAGCUAGGAUUACAGACGUGAGCCACCAUGCCCGGCCAACUGCCUUCUUUAUAUCUCAUUUUAAAAAUUUAUAACAAAGAAGUGGGUUGAUUUUCAAGACCUAGUUGUGUUAGUUUGAAUGAGAUGCAUACAUUUGGCAAGUCUGGGGUCUAAGAAAAGAUAAAGAUCUGAAUGCUGAAAAUCUAGAGAAUUCAGGUUACUGGGGGAUAACUUAAAGUCACUAGGGAAUUCGGGUUACUGGGGGGAUAACUUAAGGUCACUAGGGAAUUCGGGUUACUGGGGGGAUAACUUAAGGUCACUAGAACCCAAAUGCAGGGAAGAGUUGGGUGCUCUUUGGCAAAUAAACAUUCCUGACUUAGCAUUUUUCUUAAACCCGAACGUGCCAGCUGUUUUUUUGUUUUUUUGUUUUUUUGUUUUGUGACCUCAGCCAGGCUUGCGUGUUUAUUCAUCACAUAUUCUAAGCUCAUAUACAACUGUGACCUGAUCCAGCCUUCAAGGAACUCACUCUUGAUUUUAGGAAUCUUUCCACCACUUCGAUUUCAUCUUACUCCUGAAACAGUCAGCCAGAACUGUCUAAUUCAGUCUAUACUUCUGAUACAAAACUCUACCCAGCAACCACUAUGGUUUUGUUGCUUUAGGUACGUGUUAGAAAGCACCCACAUCAAUUUACAGAAAAUCCUUAACUGAAUCUCUAGUCCCAGAGGAGUCAUAUUUUAUUAUAUGGUGCUUUUUAUUUAAAGAGAUCGGUUUAAUAGAAAUUACUCAGGCAUUUGAAGUGAUAGCUUUAAAAUGUGGGACUGGGGAAAAUAAGAACACUUGACCUCUCUCCAUAAAAUUGAAUUGUUCUUUAGGUUUAAAGUUUUGACAGACAAAGAGAAAGUGAGAGCAAGUGAGGGUGAAAAUAUAUCCUUAUUUGGUAAUGAGUACCCAUUAAGAGGACAGUAUAUUACAUUUCAUCUUCUUACUUCACAUUCCUGUUUUAAGGAUUUGUGAGCAAAGUGCUGUGAGACCUCUAGAGUUAAGAGGCUGGAGAUAGGUAGUUUUGAUGGUAUUUUAAGGAGUGCUCCAUAAUGUGUAGUGUCUGAGUGCUGAAGCUUAAUCAGCUUCAAUUAAAUCCAAAACAUACUGAAUAGCUCCUAUGUGUCUGGCAUUGAGCUGUGUGCCAAAGUGGUGGAAAGAUGUAAGAGCCACUGAGGCUUAGAGAUGAAAAGGAUCUUGGAGCCACUGGUUUCCUGCCUGCUGGAGUUUCACCAUCAAGGACCCUUUCGUUAUUUUCCUUCUCCCAUGCAUUUUAUUAAAAUUUUUGGUUUAGUAAACCAAAUUCACUAAUGGGAUGUUAUUUUCAUAUCAAAGAGUAUAAUUCUGCCAAUCAAGGCUUCUGAUCAGCAUAAAAUAAUUAGGUUUCAUACUGAAUGCACAAAUUCUAGUCAAAAGCAAAGCCAUUUGAUGACAUGUCUGCUAUGUUGCCAUUUGCUUUAAGAGAGGUAAAGGUAGCCUGACUUCUGUUCACUCUGUAGUACAGAAUACAUUGUUAACAAGUCAUAGGUAUGUUCUUUUAGGUUUCUAAUUACUGUCAGCCUCUCAUUUCAGACAGGUGAUGUGAUAAGGUGAAAUGAUUACUAUAUUUAGACUCAAAAGUCCUGAGUUUGAGUCCUCGUUUAACGAUCUAGUCCAUGAGCUUCAGUUUUCUCACCUGUUAAAUGGAAAUGAUGAUUAUUUCCUGGAAAUUGCAUUUCCAGGUUGUUUUGAAUGAUAAAUGAUAUGGUGUAUAUAUCAGCUGUUUGCAAACCAGAAAAAGCUAUUCUAUGGUAAACACAUGCAGUGGGCUGAAUUGUGUCUCCCAAAAUUCAUAUGUUGAAGUCCUCACCCCCAGGGCCUCAGAAUGUGACUGUAUUUGGAUCUAGGGUCUUCAAGAGAUAACUAAGUUAGAAUGAGGUCAUUUGGGUUGAUCCUAAUCCAACUGACUGAUAUCCUUAUAAGACGACGAAAUUUGGAUACAGAAAUACACAGAAGACAGGGAGAAGAUGGCCAUCUACAAGCUAAGGAGAGAGGCCUCAGAAGAAACACACCUGCCACACCUUGAAUUUGGACUUCUAGCCAUCAGAACUGUGGGAAAAUAAAUUUCUGUUGUUUAAGCCAGGAGUCCUCAACCCCCGGGCUGUGGACCUGUACCAGUCGGUGGCAUGUUAAGGACUGGGCUCCACAGCAGGAGGUGAGUGGUGGGCGAGUGAGCAUUACUGCCUGAGCUCCACCUCCCGUCAGAUCAGCAGUGGCAUUAGAUUCUCAUAGGAGCACAAACCCUAUUGUAAACUGAGCACGCAAGGGAUCUAGGUUGUGCGCUCCUUACGAGAAUCUAAUGCCUGAUAAUCUGAGAUUGAACAGUUUUAUCCCCAAACCAUCCCCUCCACCACCCCCGUGGUCUGUGGAAAAAUUGUCUUCCACAAAACUGGUCCCUGGUGCCGAAAAGGUUAGGGACCAGCGGCUCAAGCCACCCAGCCUGUGGUACUUUGUUACGGUAGCCCUGGCAAAUGAAUACAACACGUUUUAGACUAUGAUGUUACACAUGCAGUGUGUUGAGAGCCAAAGAACCCAAAUGAUUCGUGGUAUCUGCCCUUGAAGAGUUUUUAAUCUUUUUGGGCAUGAUGAAACAUACACAUGGAAAAUAAAAUAGCAUAUAACCAAGUGCCCAAAUCAGUAAUAAAUACAGUUGACUCCAUAAACAUUUAGGAACCUUCUAUCCCAUGUUUCCACAUUCUAUCCCAGUGGCUUUUGCCACUAAAUUUCUUCACCCACUAUUAGACUGAUGUUUUCAUCUUUCAGUAUCAGACUCAAGCUUUAAUCUAGAAAGAGGGGGUGGGGGGAUAAAUGCUAUACUUUGGAACCAGUCCGGAUAUUUUAAGUAUGUUUUUAAAAAGUAUAAUCCUCACAACAUGAAAGUUAUUAGUUCUAUUUUUCAGGUGAGAAGAGUUAAGGUCAAACAGACGAAAGCUAGUUAGUGGAGGGACUGGUAUUCCAAGCCCAUUCUGGUUAAACUAAAUCUUGUGUUCUUUCCACUAGAAAACUGCUUUUUGUCUUAAUUAUAAUUUUGUGACAAGGAUGUAUAGUCCAUUAAGGAAUAUAUACAACAGAAGAAGCAUUUAAGUGGACUUGAGGUUUGUGAAUCUGAACUAGUUUCUAUCGACUUUCACAUCAGCAGCUCCUAUUCUGGGGAAAGAGAAUGGAGGCUGGGAGUGAUCCUGACAAACCUUGAUGUGCAGGCUUGUGGAGAAACUGGAUUCACACCCAGGCUCGUGGAGUGUGGGAGAGGCUGGCCUGUCACAAUAUCAGGACAGCCUCUCUUAAUAACACUGCAGAAGGAAUCGAGGGCCCUGUGGUUUGCGGUCAGUGUGCCUCUUGUGCCAACUUUGGCACUACAAUGUCUUCAAUCACAUUAUCUUCCAAACCGGCUCUUCAUCCUAUGUCCUUAUUUCUGCUAAUGGUAUUCAUUUCUCUUAUUCAUGGACUCUGGGAAUCUUGGUGGUAUUAAAACCUGUCUCUUCUUUCCCCCUCGAUCUUCCACAUUCCAUUUCCUUUCAGCAGAAUCCCAAGCCUUCACCAUUUUUCAUUUUUGGUGCUGUUUCAGAGUUGCUGUGAACUUUACCUGGGUCCUCUAUCACCUUACCCAGCCAUUUGUCAUUCUGCCUGGUAAAGGGUUGAGCAGAUUUAUCUAUAUGAAUGAUCUUAUUUAAGCUAUUCUGUACACCUUCUGCUACUUAAACAGGCUCUAUGCUUCCACAUCUGCUCUCUAUCUGCCUAUGUGACUCAAACUUCAAUUGUCCAUCUCAGACAUCACAUCCUCCAUGAAGCCCUCUUGGGUUAUUUGAAGUAAUCUCUCUUCUGGGCUCUCAUAGCAUUACUGCUUGUAACUCUUUCAAAAGAUGAAUUUUGUGCUGUUGUUUACUUAAUGAGUACAAAUUUAGUGAUAAAUUUGAAAAACUUGUGUCCAUGUUUGAUAAAUAUGAAAAUCUCAUCAUUUUCAAUAUUUCUUAGAAUUUCAAAAUGUACUAAAUAUUAUUAAAAACCAAUCAUGGCAAUUUUAACAUUGAGUAUUCUUUUUUGAAAUAUGAAUGCUCCUCUCUCAAGACUGGUAUACUUUCUCACUCUACUCCCUUUUCAAGUGCCCUUAUCGAACUUUGCUGAUGAAAUCAUCUUUUCUUAGUUUGUUAGACUUUGGAUGGUGGAGACCUGUGCCUGCUACUUCUCUCAUCUCCUGAUACCUAAUGCAUAGUGUUCAGUACUGAAAUAUGGUCAACCAGAUGAGCUGAAAUGUCAAGAACUUAUAGACACACAUGGUUUCAUGGUUGUGAAACUAGAAGAUGUGGCAUAUUUUACACAAUGGAGGGAAGAGCAAAGGUUAUGCAUGUGCGGAGGCAGAGCCCCUAGGCAGGUUUCCCUCUUUUCCUUCCUGUGCACUGAUUUUUAUUUUGGUGAACUGAAACAGGGGUCUAACAAACUGGUAUCUCAUUUGUCUUUAUAAACAGAACUGCCAGAUUGGCUUUGCAAUUCAGGGCCCUGUAGGGUGCCCACCUCCUCAGUUUGGGCAGCAGCAUUACAUCUGAGUCUUAGAAUAAAAAUGGAAAGCAAUGGCUCAACCCAUUGGUUUGUCACCAUCCACAUGAAGGAUCUCUAUUGGUAAAAAAACAGACUCCCGUGUUCAAGGCCCUGGGGCUGGAAUCAAAUCCAUCAUUCAUUUAUUUCGGUUUUUUAAGGCUAAAUACAUAGGGAAGAAAAUGAAAUGUGAGAAAGCUGUGCAUUUUCAAUGUCAUCUUGAAAGUGAGUAUCUUUAGACACAUAAAGUAGAUGAGUGGUUAACUUGGGCUGGGAGAGGGAGUGAGGAGUGGUUGUACAUGGCACAAGGUUUCUAUUUAGUGUGAUUGAAAUGUUCUAUAAUUUGAUUGAUGAUUGUACAGUUCUGUAAAUAAACUAAAAUGUAUUGAAUUGUAUAAUUAAAACAUGCAGAUUUUAUAUUUAAAAUAUACUUUGAUAAAAGUGUUUUAAAAAUGAAUAUCUCAUAGGGUAGAAUGAAAUGAAUAAGAGAAACAGUGAGGCAUCCAGGGGACUUUCUGCACAGUGGGUCUGUCAUUAGGCAGGUACGUUGCCACAGCCAGUUCUAAUGCCCACUCAUAGGCCAAUGCCUAGGACAAUUGCUCAGAUAUCGCCUCUGACAGGCAAGUGUUCCAUCAGUAACAGCAGGCAUCGGAAGAUGAUGCCAUUCCCUGCUGUUAGUAUGAUUAUAUUGACUUAGGUUUUUAAUUUUCUUUCUUGCUGUGUUUUUUUUUUUUCACCUUCUUAGCCUCUAAAGCAUGAACAUCUGUGUUUUUCAGCUGCCUUUUCAGAAGGCAAUAAAAAGGGUUUGUUCGAUUUCUCUCUUCUGGAUCUUCUGGAUUAUCAGCGCUCCUUACUGGCUUAACCAAACACAAACAUGAAACAACUUGGAAAGGAUCACAAAAUAAAAGAUUGCAGUGUGUCUGCUGUGGACUGAACCCUCCUCAUCAUUUGGCAAUCCAUUGCUGACAGUCGUUCUGGGCUUCCCAAUCACUGCUGGAGUACUUCAGCCCUUUAUGCCUAAGGCUGCAGCGACAGGCAUAAAGCUCUCCUCCAGGCCCUGGAUUCCAUUUUUCCUUCCCUUCUGUAACCUCGCAGUGGCACCGAGGAAGAGAACCAAUGGCAGAGGCCACAUGUGCAAGCAAGAUGGGAGUCUGGAGAGCCUCAGGCUAAAUCACGAGUGCUCAGCCCUCUCCUCUUUGUAAGGGCAACCGGGUCAUAUCUGCCAGCAUAGAACUGCUCUGUCCACAGCCCUAAAAUCUAAUACCUAGAACAAUAAAUGCACUUAAGCACGUCAAACUCUCUCAACCAGUGAUGAAAUCUGUCACUAGCGAAGGGACUUGUCCCAAGGGAGCUGAACACCUGCCGCUGCACCCUGACAAUGUAUAAGAAACAAGCACCACUGUGGAUGCAGCCCCAGAGGCCUAGUGUCAUGGGGGUGCAAGGCCCUGCUUCAGGCUGGGGGCCUGGGGAGGGGCUGGUACCUCUCUACCUCCUGCAGCUCCUGUUCCUCUGGCUCCUGGUGAAAAUCUGGGUCUGAACCCAUAGCAAGUGAGGGCCACAAGGCUUCACCUUCUGAGAUGCAGCUAGAAGAAACAGCUGGUAUAAUAUAUGGUCAUGCACAGUGUACUCCUUCUGCAUCUAUGUGUCAACUGCAAAACAACCUCAGGCAGGUCCUUCAGGAGGUAUUCCAGAGGAAGGCAAUGUAAUCACAGAUGACAGCUCUAUGCAGGUUAUCACCCCUGAAGACCUUCUACUGGGACAAGAUGUGGAGGUAGAAGACAGUAAUAUUGAUGAUCCUGACCCUGUGUAAGCCUAGGCUAAUGCAUAUGUGUGCUGUGUCUUAGUUUUUACCAAAAAGUUUAAAAAGUAAAAUAAAAAUAGGAAAUAGCUUAUGGAAUAAGGAUAUAAAGAAACCAUUUUUGUACAGCUGUACAUGUGUUUGUGUUUUCAGCUGUGUUAUUACAAAAAGGUCAAACUUUAAAAAUAAACAAGUUUAUAAAGUAAAAAGAUUUCAGUAAAGUACAGUAAGGUUAAUUUAUGGUUGAAGAAAAACAUUUUAAAAAUAAAUUUAGUGUAGCCUAAGUGUCCAGUGUUUCUAAAGUCUACAGUAGCGUGCAGUCAUGUCCUAGGCCUUCACGUUCACUCACCACUCACUCACUGACUCACCCAGAGCAAAUUCCUGUCCUGCAAGCUCCAUUCAUGGUAAGUGCCCUACACAGGUGUACCAUUUUAACCUUUUACAUCAUAUUUUUAUUGUACUUUAAACAUAUCUACAUUUACAUGUUUAGAUACAUAGGUGUUUACCAUUGUGCUACAAUUGCCUAUGGUAUUCAGUACAGUAACACGCUGUACAGGUUUGUAGCCUAGGAGUGAUAGCCUAUACCAUACAGACUAGGUGUGGUAGGUUGUACCAUCUAGGUUUAAGUAAGUAUACUCUAUGAUGUUCCCACAACAACAGAAUUGCUGAAUGAAGCAUUUCUCAGAAUAUAUCCCCAUGGUUAAGCAACCAAUGAGUGUAUUUUCUGUCUACCUUUCACCUCCAUAAUAUAUAUAUUUUUCUACAUUUCUCAUGGUAGAGGGAAAGAGCAACAGGACUUCCAGAAAAAAAACUAAUGUGUCUUCAGACUUCUGCUUGUAUGUGGCUCAUGUUAUAUCUGAGCGUAUGCUACUGGACAAAGUGAGUCACAUAGCCAAGGCUUACAAUGGGAUGGGGAAGCAUACUUCAUUUCUGUGAAGGCACUCUAAGUCACAUGGCAUCAGUGGGGUCAUCUUGUUCUUUUAUAGUGAAGAGGGGAGUAAAUAAUAGAGGACAAUAAUACAGUCCACCAAAGAUACUGAGGCCAAUUAUAUCCAAAAAGCAAGAUCAGUUUGGUGGAAUGACUUACUAAUGCACUGAGAUGCCCAUAUGCCCAUAUUCCCUGCCAAACAGUCUAAAUGGAAAACUAGAAUCCUAAUUAAAAUGAGAAAAGGCGUGUCACAAAGCUUCCUUUAUUGUAGAGCAGUUGAGUUGUGAUGUUCGUUACUAGAUUUUUUUUAUUAGCCUGUUGUUAGUUGUAUGUAUGCCUUCUAUUUAUUAAGCACUUAUUAUGAGCCAAGCAUAGUAGUAAACCUUUUUCUGACCUUAUUUAAACCUAUCAACAGUCUCAAGUUGGAACUAGGUCUCUUUCCAUUUACAGAUAAAAAUAUUAAAGGACAGAAUAACUAAGCAACUUGCCCAAAGUCACAGGUCCCUGCUCUUAUCUGCUAUAUUUUCUUUCUCUAUUUUUCUUUUUCGUGUAAUACAGAAAGCCCAUGAUCAUCCUGAUGCCUCCUCUGUGUGGAUAUCGCAGGAAUGGCAACUUACGACCUUAUGAAGUAGUUUAUUCUAAUUUAGGGUAGCUCAAAUUACUAGAACAAAUAUUUAAUGGGCCUUUAAUCUUCUACCCCUAAAAUUUUUUCCAGUUGGUUCUAGUUUUAUCUUAUGGAGCUAAAUGUAUGGAAAAUGAUUCAAAGAACCUUCCUUCAAGUAGUAGAAAUCAUCUUCUAGAUUUUAUCUUUCCCAAUCUAAAAAUACAUUGUUGUUUCAACAAUUCCAUGAAUAACAUGGAUUGUGGAUUUUUAUCAUCCUGGUUACUUUUCUCUUGGACUGCCAAACAUUUAAGUGCGGAACAAGAACUGUCUGCAAUAAAACAUAAUGAAUGUUUAUGCUAAAUUUUUAAGCAUCGACAGCUUCUAUUCAACUGAUGUAUCUCAGAACACAAAAGAGUACUUGCUGUUUCGGGAAAUUUGGUUCCUGUCUCCUUCUCUGAUCUGAAUUGUUAUGUUGAUAAAUUUGCCAUAUUCUGCUGAAGAACAAAUUCUGGCAUCUUCACUGAGGAAUCAGUGUCUGCCUCUAAUACUUCUUUCUGUGAAAUCCUGACCUGAAGUCUCCUCUAUCAUCCCAAAGAUUUAAAAAAGAUUAAAGGUGAGGCAUGGGUUUCUCUGGCCUGCUUUGGUAAAUUUAUGUGCUCACAUAACUCAUUAAUUGUUUAGGUUUAAUUCAAGACAAAUACCUGCACGUUUAUGUUUGACACUAGUAUUUAUCAAAUCCCAAAGCUGAUCUGAACCCUAAACAAACCAUAUUCUUGGCAGCUCCUCCAAAUAACACACAUAGCAAAUAUAUUGACAUCAGUUGUACUUUAAAAUGUCAACUCUGCUUUUCCUUUUCUCAUGGUGCUAAUAAAAGAUUUUAUUUAAAAACGCUAAACUUGGGAAUGAAUGCCAAAUUCCUCUCUUACCAUUCAGUAGGUCUUUUCCUGUUUUAGGUGUAGGCUAUGGAUUAUUUCAUUUGACCUUCUUGCUGUUUACCUGGUUAUAAUAUGUGAAAAUACAAAAUUUAAAGUCUCCAUUAUGCUAUGGGAACGUAAAACUUUUUUAUUUUUUAAGAGAAUCUGUAAAUAUGUACAUUUCAGAGCUACCACAACUAGAAUUAUCUUUACUGUUAAUUAAUUAAUCAAAAAUAUGGUGGACAUUAUUAACAAUAAGCCCUGAAGCAACAUUUUUGGAAAUGACCUAAAAGAAUUGCUGGACUGUCAUUCAAAGUUCAAUAAAAAUGCCUUAUAGGAACUUUUCUCUUGGACUAACACGUCAUGAUGGAGUUGAACAAGCAGUAGAUUAACAUCUGAACACCAAUUUUAAAUUACAGUGUUGUGUGAUAUUAAUAGAGUGAUUGUAAUUAAGUAACUAGGCCUCCUUUGAUCUUGUUUGCCUUAUCUGUUAAAUAAUCUACUCUUACCAUCACCAUCACUAAUGAUAAAAACAUUUAAAAUAUUGCUACUUGUGCUAGGCAGAAUCAUGGCCUCAAAGAUGUCUAUGACUUAGUCUCUGGAACCUGUAACUAUGUUAGCUCACAUGGUACAACGGACUUUUCAGAGGUGAUUAAAUUAAAAAUCUUGACAUGGGGAGAUUAUCCAGGAUUGCCUGGGAGAAUGGGCAUUGUAAUCACUUGGGUUCUUAAAAGUGAAAGAGGGAGGGAGGGAGGGAGGGAGGGAGGGAGGGAGGGGAUAUGAGAAUAGAAGCAGAGUCAGAGUGAUGCAGCUUAAGAAACACCUGACUGUAUAUUGCUGCCUGGCUUCGAAGGUGGAAGGGACCAUGAGCUAAGGAAUGGAGGUGGCGUCUAGAAGCUGGAAGAGGCAAGCACACAGAUUCUCCCCUAGAGCCUCUGGAAGGAAGGCACACCUGCCAACACCUUGAUUUUAGUCCAGUGAGACCUGUUUUGGACUUCGACUUCUGACAAUGUAAUACAAUCAAUUUGUGUUGUUUUAAGCCACUAAGUUUGUGGUAAUUUGUUGUUGCAGUAAUAAGAAACGAAUACACUACUUCAUUAGAUUACUGUAAUGAUUCCAAAAUUUAAUAGAUUAUGAGAAAGCACUUUGUAAACUGAAGUACGAUAGAAAUGUUAAUUAUUAUUGAUAAAAUUAAAGUAGGUUCUAACAACUCUAAUUAGAAGGAUGAGGUCUGUUUCAAAUAAAAUCCAGAUUAGAGAUGGGCUAGUGAGUCUUUGCCAUUUUCAUAAACUUUCAUAGGGAUCCUCCCCAAAAUGAAUUAACAGAACUAUUAAAAGCAACCCCUCUGGGACCAAUCUGAAAUUAAUUUUUCAGCUUUAUCGCUGAAACAUUCUCUAAACCAUAAAUUAAUAGGAAGCAAUAAUUCUCCCCUGAGCAGAGCAAAUGCUUAAGUUGCAGGUCCACUGGUAUAGCACACAAGCGGCCUGAGGAUAAAUCCAUCUUUGGUGGUGGAAAAUUCUUAAGUCAAAGAAAAAUAUAUUAUAUGUCAUAGCCCACUGUAGUGUAAUUCUAAUGGUAAGUUAUUUUUCAGUUUUGUAGCCUGCAUACAUAUAUAGAGGAAACAUCUUCCAGCUCAAGAAAGAACUCUGUUCUCGCCUUCUCCCUUCUAAUCUCAGUCACUAGUUGUUACCAUUAAUUAACCCUCAUGAGAAAAACCUGAUGACAUCGUUUAUUGGCAACAGACUAUAAUGAUAUUCCAAUUGAAACAAAUUAAUAGGGGUGAUCCCUUUUUAGCCAGCAGUUUCCUAUUUUUUGUACCUGAAAACUAUUUUGUAUUCAGGAACAAUAAUAUUUAAAAUUUAAGUCAACUGAUAUGUUUGUUUUAAGCUAUUUACUUAUUUAGCAUUGUGUAGAAAAUUAAUUGGCUAAAAAUCUUCACUGUUAUUCUAGAUAUCUUGUUAUCAAAAGGAACACUUCUGUAUUCUCAAAAUUAUUAGUUUGUCCUUGCAGUGAUUUUCAAAAGCAUAUCGAUGGUUGAAAUUAAAACUAAUUUGUCUAUUACAGACAUGACCUUGGUUUCAAACAGGUUCUGAUAAAUCUAGCCAGUGCAGCACAAACGGGAAAAAAAAAAGACAUUGGAAAGAACAUGGCUUAGCUACUGAACAUUGUAGGGACACUGAGUCUAUAAUUUCACUCUGGACCUUGAAUGAAAACAUGUUUCAUUUAAAUUUAUUGCUACACAAAAUUAUUUUAAUCUGGCAAUUACGUAACAAAAAACUCCAGGGGAAAUUUGAGCCACUAGACUUCUGGUAGUUGUAGUCGUUUACAAAAAGAGAGGACUGGAAUGAUACUAGGGUGAACGUGCAGUUCUGCCUCCAGGACUUAAAGGAUGCCAGGGGAAUAUGGAUUUUAUUUAUAAGGAAUUCUCCUUGGGCCCAAACCUAAAACAGUCGGGUGUGGCAUGCAUUUUAGCAGCACGAUGCGAACAGAAAAUGAACAGAAUUUUGGUUUGCUUUGGUGUAUUUAGUUUUUUGGACUUUGUCCAAUAAAACUAAAUGAUUUUUUUUUUUUUUGCAUUUGUAACUCUUGUCCUAAACUGCAACAGCUUUUGCAAAAAGUAGAUUGGCACCUACAGUUGACUUGCCAGUGGAAGUUCUUGGACACCUUUCUACAAGAAUGCAGUCCCCUCUGACCAUUGGAUUCAUCUUACUCUACCCUAGGGGGCCUAGGAAACUUCAGGCUUUCCAGUGCCUAGACGGAGCAUCCCUGCUUCCUAGUAUCAGCUUCCUUCACUGUGUAGCUGCCUUAGAACCAAGCUAAGCACAGGAAUGCCUCUGCGGAGGCAGCCUUGCGUGGCACCAGGGAAUGUUGCUUUGUUUAUUCAUACUCCAUCUCCUAAAUUUUUUUUUUUCCCCAGACAGGGUCUCAGCGCAAUCAAGGCUCGCUACAGCCUCAACCUCCUGGGCUCAAGCAAUCCUCCCGCCUCAAUCACCCAAGUAGCUGGAACUACAGGGGUCUUUCUGUGUUGCCUAGGCUGAUCGCAAGCUCCUGGGCUCAAGUGAUCCUCCCAUCUUGGCUCCCAGACUGCUAGGAUUACAGGCACGAGACACUGUGCCCAGGCCCAAAUUCUGUACUUCUCCCAGCUAUUGUGAAGCCUCCGACAUGGUCUGUUCUGAUUCUGUCACCUUUCUCUUCCUUCUCAAGCCCCAGUAGGGGCCUUGCCUCUCCAGCGUACCCUGCUUUUGGAGAUCUUGCCUCCAUGUUUCCAUUAUUGAUGGAGGGACCGUGGCAGGACUUUGCUUUCCAAUGUCACUAUUAUGUCAGCAGGCUAGCCCUGAACCCCACACAGUAAGACCCCUUAUGUGAGGGUUUUACACCUACUUGAUCUUAUUCCUCUUUCCAGGUGAGCACCACACACUGACCUAGCUAGGCUCAGGGUAAGGUAGCUCUUGCUCAUUUUGGCCAGGUAUUUAAUUACGUGACAUUCACAGUGUGCCUUUCUACUUAUCUUUUUAUCCUUUUCAGUUCAAGAAACGUGGCUAUACCAACUUGCCACAGUGCCCAUCCCACUUUGUAGAAGACUUUGAUAUCUGACUCACAGAGAAACUCCUGCCAGGAGUUUAUAUUGUGUGCAGCUGAUUCAGGCAGUAACUUCCACUCAGCGAGGGGGUCCAUUUACAAAAAAUUACUUCUCUUCCUUUUAUGCCCAGUAUGGUUCUUAAAAUCAACCAGACCUAUCUUUCACCAGCACGACUUGGUUCUUUUAAACCACAGUAUUUCUGCUUCUUCUAGUUGGAAAACUUUAAUAUGAGAUUGAAGAUAUGAUUUGCUUUCUGGAUUGUUGUAUGCUACUAAAACCGAAGAAAGAGAAGGAAAAAUGGAUGAAUCGACGGACCAUAUCACCCUGGCACCUAUAUCAGCUCAAAAACUGAAGGAAAUACCCCUUUCCUGCCCUCUCUUUGACUAAUGCUAUAGACUCUGAGUCAGUAGUUCCUGGUGGGACCUGAGAGUCCACAUUCCUGAUGAGCUCCAGGUGUUCCCAUGCUGCUGCCCCUCUGACCACACUUAGAAUAAGAAGGCUUGAAAUGAAAUCUGAGAAAUCAGCCUCUUGAUUCCAAUUUUAAACAUGCAAUUGAUUCUUGUAAUUUUUCAUUCUUGUCAAAAUGCAUACCAGUAAGUUUGUAAUCAGUAUUGGCAUGCUUAAAAGAAUUUAAGACUUGUUAUAUUUGUCAUUUUAAUUUAUUUAAACUUUAAAGAUUUGUUCAGAACUUGGAAAGAUUUUGCUUAAGCUCAUAAAUUUACCCACUCAGGCAUAUGAGAUAGGGUACUUUGAUUUAUAAAUGAAGUUUAAAAUUAAGGGAAUUUAAUUAAGUUUUCAAAAUGAGAUUGGUUGUUUUAAGGGGAAUUUACUUUGUGUAACUUGAGUUCAUCAAACGCUAAUCCAAGUUCCCUGCAAAACCUGUUCUGUUUUAUAUAACAUUUACUCGUUUUAGAAAUAGAUGAGAUUUGCAAAUUGAACCUAAAGACUUAAGGCAAAUUAUGUAUCUUUUUAUACUUUAAUAAAGAAAAAUAAAAUAAAUUUGAAACACAAAUAACUCUAACUGGCCCUUUUUAUGUAAAAAGAAGUCCUUGAAUAAAAUUUACCUUGACAGCACUAGCAAUUCCGCAACUCUGGCGUGUGUCUUUGAAAAUGUCUUAUUUCCUCUGCGUUGCCCAGCCUCCUCUCUUGAUGGUUCUGCUGGGGGUGGUGGGGAGCGGUUGGAGCGGGGGAACACACAUCUGGGAAUACUUUUCUACCUCAUUCAGGGCAUCUAGCUGACUCCUUAGUGGGCGGGCUUCCUAAUGGAUUCCUGGGGCUUCUGC
rnacentral:lncRNA from 10 species